rnacentral:rRNA from 1 species
UUAGGUCGGGAACUCAAAGGAGACUGCCAGUGAUAAACUGGAGGAAGGUGGGGAUGACGUCAAGUCAUCAUGGCCCUUACGACCAGGGCUACACACGUGCUACAAUGGCGCAUACAAAGAGAAGCGACCUCGCGAGAGCAAGCGGACCUCAUAAAGUGCGUCGUAGUCCGGAUUGGAGUCUGCAACUCGACUCCAUGAAGUCGGAAUCGCUAGUAAUCGUGGAUCAGAAUGCCACGGUGAAUACGUUCCCGGGCCUUGUACACACCGCCCGUCACACCAUGGGAGUGGGUUG